rnacentral:lncRNA from 1 species
GUAGUUCCCUAACAUGCCUCACAUUAUUACAAUGUCUGAUAAGAAUUGCAUCUCAUAUCAAAGCAAGCCAUAAUCACACCAAUAGAUAUCCAACAAAAGCAUUAUUUCAAUUACCAACCAUGUAAUCCAAUUAUGCACACAAGUUAUCAACCAAUGAGAUAAAUAAAAAGUUAACAUUCCACGAAGUUUAGUAUAAUCAAACUCCGAAAAUAUUUGUCGUAUUUCCUCUACUUGGAUUCCUAAGCUUUCUCUCAGUUACUAAUACAAGGAUCCACCAACAUGGCCAAAUCCAUUUUCACAAUAUAAGACAUUACUAAAUGCAUGACAUGAACUUUAAUCCUAGUCAAAGUACUUGGAAUUACUAAUUUAACAGCCCCCAAUUCAAAUGCCAUUUUGGUUGACCUAACAUAGCUUCAUCACUGCCAAAUACGUUUGAAUGGAAAUAAUUUUGGACUAUAAGUGAUUAUGUGUUUCAAUAAGUGCACCAAUACAUUGAGCUUAUAAAUGUAUAAGAAAAUGGUUCUUUGAAACCCAAUGCAAAACCAUAUAAAGUGAUUUAAUAAACUCAAUAUGGAUAAGUAAAUUAGAAAUAAAAUUUAGAGAAGAACAGACAGUGCAAAGCAGUAACCUCUUCUCCACAAAAGCUACAAAAAAGCACUUUUAGUUAACCAAGAUUAACCUGAUUUUGAACACUCAUAACUACACCGGUUGAUGCAAACUUACAUAGGUUUCGAAGCUUGUUUUGUGUACUUCAAAAGCAUAAAAGAUUUUUAGAAAACAUGGUUCUAAGUUGAAAGUUAUGCAAGUUACAAAAUAAUCUCGAAACUGGAAACCCAGUAUUUGCUGCUGUCUGGCAGCUUUGGGACUCAAGUUUGAAUAUGAUUUUGACAUAUCAAUACUUAAUGGAAUUAAGUGAAAUCAGAUGGAUUUUGAUCAUGGACAUGUCUAGUUUUAAACCACGUAAUAUUGGCUCAAAAGGAGUCCAUAAGGAUAUAAAAAUCAAGAGCCAAAGUAGGCUACUUGAAACAUAGUUUUUCUGUGAAGAAUUAAUAAAUUUCCUGCAAUUUAGAACCUAUACCCUUAUAAUCCAAAUUACAUUUUCAGAUUGCUUCCACACAAUUCAAAAUUCAUGUUUAUAACUUCGAUUUAAAUUAUAUUCAACAAUUAACAAGACUUGACUUUUUAAUCCAAACCCUAGAACAAGAUAUUUGAUCACCACACCCAAAGUAUAUAUUGAAAAUAAUAAAAAAAAUUGAUACAAAGCGGUUAUGGUAUGAUGGAGAGAUGGGAAUCGUUACCUAUGCUGCAGGUUGACAAAAGAUAUCAUAUUUUUGUUAUGAUUCGAAAGACAUGGUUGUACACCUUCUCUCUCAAUUCAUAGUAAACAUCUUAAUUCCUUAUUUCUCUUUUCUUUUCCUGGUGUCUUCUUCUAUGUUUCCUUCAAUUUCUUUCAAGGAUUCAGACAUAGUUUCUAUCCUUAUCCCCUUUUUUUUUUUUUUUUUCUUCCGCUUUCUCCCCCCUUUUCUGAUUCGUAGUUUCGGGCAGGGAAGAUUCCCUGUAAUGCCUAUUUCCCUUCGCCAACCCAUCUCCCCCUCCCCCCCCCUCUUUUUUCUUUUCUCUUGCUCCCCCUUUCCAGAAGCCUCAUCUUUUCCCCCCUUUUUUAACCACAGCCACCACGUGGCUUUUCUACACCAAGA